AAAAGGUUUAACAUUCGGCCUAGCAGAAGACUCGCUUAUUUUGUUGGACUAUUUUAGUAUGUUAUUAUUAUGUUUGGGUCCACUAAUCAACGCUGGCCCUUUCCCUUUACCCUUAGGGUUUCCUUUGCCUUUACCUUUUCCCUUAUUUGCUUCUCCACCAUGUCGCCAUUCCUUUCCAACAUCCUUAAUCUCCCUAAUUUUCGCCCCUAAAAAUCGAUUGACAUAUUUAUCAUUUAAUUCCCUAGAUUUUCCCCAACCAAUUCCUCAUGAUUCCUGUCUAGAAUUCUAAAUCUAGAACCACUCACUAUGUUGGCCCCCACGAUGCCAUCCGCCUUCGUCACCACUAUUUUUGCCUUCCUCCUUUGCCUUUCGUUCAAAAGUCAUCCACGACCCAUACUUCUUUGCUUCUACCUCCUCUUGCAACACCGUCUCCUGCUUUGGCGAUUUAUCUUCUUCCACUGCCGGAUCCGUUUCUUGCCCUGCUUUGUGAGGACAGACUUAUCUACAAUGCCAUACCUUCUACAGUUGAAACAAACGAUGGGUAAGGAUUGAUAUUCAACCCGUUGAAUCCUCCCAUCAAUCUUGACCUUUGAGAUUAAAGGCUUCUCCAAAUCCACAAAAACUGCCAAUCUAGCAAACUACCCCCUUAAUUUAACAUCCGUAUUAUGGUCAAUUUUCACCAUUGAUCCAAUCACAUUCCUGAUAAAUUUUAGUAAGCUCUUAGAUUACAGCUCUUCUUGUAUCCCAGGUUGACAAAUCCAAACUAUCAGAUUAUUAGGUAAUGAUUGAUCUAUCGUAAAGGCUGGAGUCCUUGGCCAUACCAUAAGGUAUUGGUCAAGAUAGUCCACGGUCCCUCCAUAAAGCAGUAAGCUAGACAUGGUGAGAUAAGAGAUACUUUUGCCAAGGAGUUUAACAAUUACAAUUCGAGACAUGCUUUGGGCGAUAUACUGGUGUACUCGUUCAAAGAAAGUAAUAGAAGAGAUACCAUCGAUGACCUCAUUUGUAGCAUCACCUUCCAUUAAUUCAAAAUCCUCCUAUUUCUAAA